AGUCGAGGGGUAUUUAUCUUCGGAUAGAGAGACCGGCGCACGGGUGCGUAACGCGUAUGCAAUCUACCUUUUACAGAGGGAUAGCCCAGAGAAAUUUGGAUUAAUACCUCAUAGUAUUAUGAAAUGGCAUCAUUUUAUAAUUAAAGUCACAACGGUAAAAGAUGAGCAUGCGUCCCAUUAGCUAGUUGGUAAGGUAACGGCUUACCAAGGCUACGAUGGGUAGGGGUCCUGAGAGGGAGAUCCCCCACACUGGUACUGAGACACGGACCAGACUCCUACGGGAGGCAGCAGUGAGGAAUAUUGGACAAUGGGCGCAAGCCUGAUCCAGCCAUGCCGCGUGCAGGAUGACGGUCCUAUGGAUUGUAAACUGCUUUUAUACGAGAAGAAACACUCCAACGUGUUGGAGCUUGACGGUAUCGUAAGAAUAAGGAUCGGCUAACUCCGUGCCAGCAGCCGCGGUAAUACGGAGGAUCCAAGCGUUAUCCGGAAUCAUUGGGUUUAAAGGGUCCGUAGGCGGUUUAGUAAGUCAGUGGUGAAAGCCCAUCGCUCAACGGUGGAACGGCCAUUGAUACUGCUGAACUUGAAUUAUUAGGAAGUAACUAGAAUAUGUAGUGUAGCGGUGAAAUGCUUAGAGAUUACAUGGAAUACCAAUUGCGAAGGCAGGUUACUACUAAUGGAUUGACGCUGAUGGACGAAAGCGUGGGUAGCGAACAGGAUUAGAUACCCUGGUAGUCCACGCCGUAAACGAUGGAUACUAGCUGUUGGGAGCAAUCU
rnacentral:rRNA from 1 species